UACGUAGGGGGCAAGCGUUGUCCGGAAUCAUUGGGCGUAAAGCGCGUGUAGGCGGCUUGGUAAGUCCGCUCUGAAAGCCCGGGGCUCAACCCCGGGAGGCGGGUGGAUACUGUCAAGCUCGAGUCCGGAAGAGGCGAGUGGAAUUCCUGGUGUAGCGGUGAAAUGCGCAGAUAUCAGGAGGAACACCAAUGGCGAAGGCAGCUCGCUGGGACGUGACUGACGCUGUGACGCGAAAGCGUGGGGAGCAAACAGG
rnacentral:rRNA from 1 species